CGGCAGGCUUAAUACAUGCAAGUCGAACGGUAACAGCAAAAAGCUUGCUUUUUGGCUGACGAGUGGCGGACGGGUGAGUAAUACCUAGGAAGCUGCCUGAAUGAGGGGGAUAACACCUGGAAACGGGUGCUAAUACCGCAUAAUGCCUACGGGCCAAAGGGUGGGCAACCACUCGCAUUCAGAUGCGCCUAGGAGGGAUUAGCUAGUUGGUGGGGUAAAGGCCUACCAAGGCGACGAUCUCUAGCUGGUCUGAGAGGAUGACCAGCCACACUGGAACUGAGACACGGUCCAGACUCCUACGGGAGGCAGCAGUGAGGGAAUAUUGGACAAUGGGGGAAACCCUGAUGCAGCCAUGCCGCGUGUGUGAAGAAGGCCUUCGGGUUGUAAAGCACUUUCAGAUGGGAAAAAAGUAGUAAUUCGAAUAGGGUUGCUAUGUGAUAUUACUAUCAGAAGAAGCACCGGCUAACUCCGUGCCAGCAGCCGCGGUAAU
rnacentral:rRNA from 1 species